UUCAAACACUGGUUCCUGUAUGAUCACUGAAGUUAAGCAAUGUUGAGCCUGGUCAGAACCUAGAUGGGUGACCACUUGGGAAUACCAGGUACUGUA